UUUAGACACUCAAAAUAUGAAUUAAUCAUUUUUGCCCUCAAUUUAAAAUUUUAUACAAGUUAUAUAUGAAUAAGGUUACUGUUGCACUUUUUAAAUUUCCUCAGGGGCCUAACAGUAACUAUUAUUGUUGUAAAAUUUCAACUUAGCCCUUGAGACAACUUCUCUCUCUCUUCCUUGACACAUCCCUCUCCGCCGCCGCCAUUCUCUUCCGUUCUUUUUUUGGCGUUGUUCAACGCCAAACGCCUAACGUAGGGUCUCCUUGACAUCGCGAGCAGUUCCCCAACAUCGAUUUCACCGGAAACUACUAAAAACUGAUGAAGCAAGGAGAGGAGAAAUCCCGUCGCUCGCUGCCAUUUGUGAAGCACCAUCUUGCCGGUGUUUUCCGGCAAAUUUGAGGCCGGAAUCAACUUCCCCGCCCCCUGUAGCCUAAGUCUGAAGAUUUGCAGCCCUCAACAAAGUGUUUCGACCGAUGAUCGGAGGUGACAGCUAGGUUUUCUGCAGUUCUUCUCUUUUGGCAGCCUGACAUCCUCUUUCAUCGGGCUUGAUGUAAUGUGUAUUGUUAUACGUGUGACAGCUAGGUUUUCUGCAGUUUCUCUCUUUUGGCAGCCCGAUAUCCUCUUUCAUCGGGCUUGAUGUAAUUAUUUUUUAUUGUAUUCAUAACUGUUUAAAAUUCUGAAUACUCCACAGUAAUUACUCUAAA